UAUGUAUAGGUUCCUUUAGAACAUGUUUCAAUUAGAAACCAUUUUCAAGGGAAACAAAAAAUGUGGUCUUUGUGGUCAGACAGGUGGUCAAUAAAGCAGGUUUGACUGUAGUCACUGUACUAUUUUUGAAAUGGGGAAACAGAGGUCAGAAGGAACACCAGAGUUGGACACUGGUGGAAGUAUUACCUAAUGUCAUCAGUCAUACUGCAGAGCAAUGCUGGUUUUGCUGGAGUUGUAGUUUAAAGUGUAUUUUUACAAUUCCUAUCAAGCAUUAUAUACCUAAAUGUAAACUGAUAUAUGAUCUUAUUUAUGAAAAAAAUUGAUGUUGCGACGUCUGUGACCCUGUUUGGUCUGUGAUCUUAUUACUCACAAAACUAAACAGGUUUCGUAGUGUUGCAUUCUUCUAUCAUGUGAAGUACAUGCUUGCCCUGUUUCUUGAAAUACGAUUUAGAAAUAGCAGGAUAACAAAACCCCUAGAAACCUUUGCCUCUUGAACCAUCUUACACAUGAAGGUAUAAAUGAAUUAUGUUUUCUUUUGUUUUUUUAAAUAUUGAAAGUUGCACAUUCAUUACAUCACAAAAAUAACAGGUAUGAUACCUUAAGGGCCCCGUCUUAUAAACAGUUGCGAUUGAUCCAGAUCAAUUGCAAGUUUACAGUCUCCUAUCUCUUAUACAAUAGUCUGUUCUCAUUUUUUAUGCUUCAGGAAAUGUGUCAAUGUUAUUCAUUGUAAGAAUAUUUUGUCCCCUUCAGCUUGAAUAAAGUUUCCAGCUAUAUAAAAAAAAAGUACUUUUGUUGUAAAUGUAUCAAUCUGUGUGGAACCACAUUUCUGUAUUAAACAUGCAAAUGCUGUGCAAUCAUCGCACGACUCUUCCCUGCACGUACCCAUUGUCCGAUUUUCUUGGCCACACACAUAAUACAUGUAAGGCUAUGUAAAAAAUCUUAUUAAGGGGGAUGUCAACUCGAGAAGAAAGAAAAGCCACGCAUGAGAUCGCAAAUGCCAUUAUUUUUUAUAUAACAAACAUUGAAUGAAUACUGCCUUUUAAUCAUUCAUCUCCAGAUUCUUCAGAAUUUCCCUUGUGAAAUUAUAUUUCAACUUCAGCCAGUGGCCUCAGGGAAAUUCUGAAUUAAUCUGUUCAUAAAAUUAUUUUGUUAUAUUCAACUGUGGAGCAUUCAUUAUUUGUAUAAUAUUCAUUUACACACAGAAAAAGACACAUUGAAUCAUCAUUCUGUUCAUAAUAAUUUAUUUUUUUCUCCAUGUACACAUUGCACACUGACAAGAAAUAGGAUGUACAUAAAAAUCUCACGAUAUAUAGGAACACUGUCCAUAACAAAUUGUACACAGCACGAAAAAAAAUACAGGAAAUAGAAAUGAUAAAGUGAUGCUGUGUUCUACAUGUACAAAAACAAGAAGAAAAAAAUGAUAACCCUACUGUUCAUCUAUUUGUUUAGCUACAGUACUUUUGCCAUAGAAUACAUUAGAUUUUCCCUUCUUUUUAGCUUGCUUACAUACAACAUUGAAUUUUUGCAAAUACUCAAUUUUUUAAUCAGGUGUUCUCAUCAUCACCUUUGACAGCAAGACAUUUUUUUUUCUUCAUUUUUAUAAAAGACACAUAUUUAAACAUAAUUCCUACUAAAGCACCAAAUGAAGGAAAGAUAACUACCUAGUGAACUAGAUUGAUUAAAUAUACCCUGCCAAAUGAUUAUGGUAGUUGAAAAAGACCAACAAAAUACAUCAAGUAAACUGAGUGAAAGAUUUCUAUCUACCGGUACUCUGACUGUUGUUGUUAUUUGUUUACCAAGCUGACUUCCUCACAUGCUGUGGACUUGCUGAA